rnacentral:rRNA from 1 species
GAGCGGCGGACGGGUGAGUAACGCGUGGGUAACCUGCCUCGUACAGGGGGAUAACAGUUAGAAAUGACUGCUAAUACCGCAUAAGACCACAGCACCGCAUGGUGCAGGGGUAAAAACUCCGGUGGUAUGAGAUGGACCCGCGUCUGAUUAGCUAGUUGGUAAGGUAACGGCUUACCAAGGCGACGAUCAGUAGCCGACCUGAGAGGGUGACCGGCCACAUUGGGACUGAGACACGGCCCAAACUCCUACGGGAGGCAGCAGUGGGGAAUAUUGCACAAUGGGGGAAACCCUGAUGCAGCGACGCCGCGUGAGCGAAGAAGUAUUUCGGUAUGUAAAGCUCUAUCAGCAGGGAAGAAAAUGACGGUACCUGACUAAGAAGCACCGGCUAAAUACGUGCCAGCAGCCGCGGUAAUACGUAUGGUGCAAGCGUUAUCCGGAUUUACUGGGUGUAAAGGGAGCGUAGACGGAUGGGCAAGUCUGAUGUGAAAACCCGGGGCUCAACCCCGGGACUGCAUCUGAUACUGGCAAGCUUGAGUCUCGUAGAGGGGGGUAGAAUUCCAGGUGUAGCGGUGAAAUGCGUAGAGAUCUGGAGGAAUACCGGUGGCGAAGGCGGC